GCGCACGCUGGCGGCAGGCCUCACCCCUGCCAGUCGCACGAACCUUUCGGGGUUAGUGGCGGACGGGUGAGUCACACGUGGGAACGUGCCUUUAGGUUCGGAAUAACUCAGGGAAACUUGUGCUAAUACCGAAUGUGCCCUUCGGGGGAAAGAUUUAUCGCCUUUAGAGCGGCCCGCGUCUGAUUAGCUAGUUGGUUGAGGUAAUGGCUCACCAAGGCGACGAUCAGUAGCUGGUCUGAGAGGAUGAUCAGCCACAUUGGGACUGAGACACGGCCCAAACUCCUACGGGAGGCAGCAGUGGGGAAUCUUGCGCAAUGGGCGAAAGCCUGACGCAGCCAUGCCGCGUGAAUGAUGAAGGUCUUAGGAUUGUAAAAUUCUUUCACCGGGGACGAUAAUGACGGUACCCGGAGAAGAAGCCCCGGCUAACUUCGUG
rnacentral:rRNA from 1 species